rnacentral:rRNA from 1 species
CGGGGGGGGCAAGCGUUGUUCGGAAUUACUGGGCGUAAAGGGUCUGUAGGUGGCUUGCUAAGUCAGACGUGAAAUCCCUCAGCUUAACUGGGGAACUGCGUCUGAGACUGGCGAGCUUGAGGGCAGGAGAGGAACGCGGAAUUCCAGGUGUAGCGGUGAAAUGCGUAGAUAUCUGGAGGAACACCGGUGGCGAAGGCGGCGUUCUGGACUGCAUCUGACACUGAAAGACGAAAGCCAGGGGAGCAAACGGGAUUAGAUACCCCGGUAGUCCUGGCCCUAAACGAUGAAUGCUUGGUGUGGCGGGUAUCGAUCCCUGCCGUGCCGUAGUUAACGCGAUAAGCAUUCCGCCUGGGGAUACGGUCGCAAGGCUG